CAUUUAAAAAAGUGAUGUAAAAAGGUUGGAGACCACUUGAAUAUCAAAAAACCUACAAUACUAAAAUUCAAAAUGUUUCCGAAUAAAUCCGAGGCAGCCAAGGCCAUGUGUGUUUGUAGGGUCAGGUGUGGUCCGCUGCCCUGGCUCAGCCUUGGUUUCUUUGGUGCCAAAGUGAAUGACGUUGCAUUGCAGUUGAAAUCAAUUGAACGGACGUACAAGGCGCAAUGGUGCAUGACAGCAAUGCGUAGGUCUGCUUUGUGCAGCGGCAAUGAGUGGUUUGAGUCUGACUGGUGACUAGAGUACACAGUGGUUGGAUGAGUUCUGUUAUCGUCUGUCAUUGUGGGUGUGUGAUUUUCCGUAACUGACAGUGUGAGUACGGUGUAAACUAACAAAGAUAGUGUUCAUGAAAAAGUCAGCUGCUCUCAACCCAUUGCCUAGGCCUAUUUUGAUUGCCAGGCUGCCCCUGGAUUCCUGUUCCAGCAAGAAGCUAGAGGUACCAGAGCUACCAUGAAAACCACCUGUUCAAAGGCACCUACAAAUGAAAAAUAGGGGAAGUUUAAUAAAAUUCAAAUAGUGAGUAAAGAUUCAGAUAAACUUGUUGGGAUAAAAUGAUGAUUAACAGCUCUUCUUAGCUAUAGAAGUAAACUAGUAGAUACAUCUCAUUAUAUAGCUGUUGCAAGUUCUGUUGCUGACCUUAAACUGUGCAUGAUGACGACAUGUACCCCUGAGGUGAAGGCUUGACGCCAUUGAAACUGGAAUUUCUCCAGACCAUUCAGCUGGGUUGGCCUCACUCUGCUGGAGGCACAGGCAGCGCAUCCAGGCCCUGUUAUCACCCAACAUGACAGCAGAUGGUGCCAUCAUCCAACCGAGUCAUCUGAAUGCUGUACUUAAGCCAUUCAUGGACCAAGAGCGGAGACACCAGCCAGUGUCCCAGCUCUCAUUCCUCCAGAGUUCACCAUCAUGAUGGAAAGAUUUGACUAACCCAAUACAAAGAGAAGAUGCAUGACCCCCAAUGAGUGGAGACGAUGGAUGGUUGUUAAAAUGAAUAGUUAAAGGUGAAAUGGACAAAAAACCCAAAACAUUGACAGCUCGCUACUGUGCUAGGUAUUUCAUCAUACAGCUAAAUGAUAUGCUCACUGUUCCAAAGAGGAGACACUAACUGCAGCCAAUAAAUGCCAACCUCCUGCAUCAACAGGAAGGAGGGUGCUGGUGUAAAGCUGACGGAUGGAACCAAACCUGGGACUUCGCUACACGAGCCUCCAGGCUUGAGCUAUAAAGCCAGCUGGCUCUCAGCUAAGGCUGUAGAGCACACUCAUUCUCUCGCUCUGUAAGUGGUCUAAGGGCUACUAGGUGGGACAGUGCACCACACCCAUGAGGUAUGUGGGUUAUACUGGCACUCAGCAACAA